AUAUAUAUAUAUAUAUAUACAUAUAUGUAUAUAUAUUAGGUAUAGUAGACUUUUUCUAUAUAGCCCCAGUUAUUCAGAAGACUGAAGCAAGAGGACAUUAAGUUAGAAAGCAGCCUGCACUACAUAGCAAAGUCAAGAAGAGUUUACACUGUGCAGGGAAACCCAAAAUCCCAAGGACUGAAUAUUUGCCUAGCAUUGGCAAGAGCUUGGGUUCCAAAUCUGGCACUAGCAAAAAAAAAAAAAAAAAAAAAAAAAAAAAAGACAAAAACAAUGAAAAGAUACAGUUGGAAAGCAUUUCUUUCUCAUUUAUUAUUGCUUUAAUCAUCUGCAAGUAGAACUUAAUAUCAAAGAAUAGACCUACCAAUAUUUACUUCCUAGCUAGCAUUAUUUCUAACAGAACCCAGCUGCAAUCGGUUUGUAGAGAUAAUUUCUGAAGGUAGAACAGUAAAAAUACCAAUGUCAAGAUGUUUAACAAGGCUUUAAGUCGCUGAUAUAGUAGAGCUAGCAUAGAAUCUUUUCAAGCUGGUUUUGGGCCAGUUAACCGAAUAAAGAUCAUGAAGAUAGAAAAGCAACCCGAAGACAAAAUAAGCAUUGAGAACAUCUGUAUUCCUUUGGUAAUGGAAUGGUAAUGAAGUUAAGUCUGUGUAUCGCUGGACAAAAACAUAAAUUCCACUUUCUUAUUUAUUAUAGAGAUCUAGGCUUACAUUGCUGUUAAGCCUCCAACAGCGGCAGCCAGAUGGUGCAGUGUUUUUGAAACAGGCUCUGAUAAAUCCACAAAGAGGCCACUUGAGGUUGCAUCAAGUAACCAAUGAGAACUAACCAGGACAACUACCAACAGAAAUGCCCUUUUGCCAACUGACAAAUGGUGCUAUUUAGUGUAGUCGUUUUGUCAAACUUCUCAGGUAAAGAAGUGUGGACAAAGGGUAUACUGUGGAACGUACUGUGACACACUGUGAUACACUACAGCUUCGUUUAUUUUUAUUUUUUAUUUUCUUUGGGGUGGAGGUUGCAAGGGUGGAGAUCAGGAGACAGGGCAAUGAAUGGAAUUGGGGUAUCUGAUGUAAAAUUCACAAAGAGUCAAUAAAAAGUUAAAAAAAAUUAAAAGGGUUAUUUCAGCCCAUGGUUCCAAGAUACAGCUCAUCACUGUGGGGUGGGGCUUGUCUGUAGGACCUUUGAAGCAGCUGCUCACAUCGCAUCCGAAGUCAGAAGCAGCAGAAGAUGCAGUUUGGGACUCCGGCCCAUGGGAUUGUGUUAUCCACGUUUAAAGUGA
rnacentral:lncRNA from 1 species